rnacentral:rRNA from 1 species
GACGAACGCUGGCGGCGUGCUUAACACAUGCAAGUCGAACGGAAAGGCCCUGCUUUUGUGGGGUGCUCGAGUGGCGAACGGGUGAGUAACACGUGAGUAACCUGCCCUUGACUUUGGGAUAACUUCAGGAAACUGGGGCUAAUACCGGAUAGGAGCCCCUGCUGCAUGGUGGGGGUUGGAAAGUUUCGGCGGUUGGGGAUGGACUCGCGGCUUAUCAGCUUGUUGGUGGGGUAGUGGCUUACCAAGGCUUUGACGGGUAGCCGGCCUGAGAGGGUGACCGGCCACAUUGGGAAUGAGAUACGGCACAGACUCCUACGGGAGGCAGCAGGGGGGAAUAUUGCACAAUGGGCGGAAGCGUGAUGCAGCAACGCCGCGUGCGGGAUGACGGCCUUCGGGUUGUAAACCGCUUUCGCCGGUGACGAAGCGUGAGUGACGGUAAUGGGUAAAGAAGCACCGGCUAACUACGU